GGCGGCGGCUCCACGCGCCCGCGCUGCGUCAGUCGCCCACGGUGGCAGCGGCAGCGGCAGCCCCGCGAUGGCUAAGGAAUGCGGCGGCUCCGCAUAACCACGGGGUCAGAGGUCACGGCUCCGGCCUCCGCGUUCCCGCGCUGCUGGGAAACCCAAGAGCGAACUAGUGGCGGGCGGGCCCGGAUGGCGAGACGCGGCUUUCCUUUCGACGCUCGGAUGCGUGCGUGUCUGCCGUGGGUGACCUUUGAAAGUUAACAGGGGUGCCAUGGGCUGAGUAAGAUAAACGGAACUGCUGUUCAACCCCGCCCAGUCUGGGGAUGAGUCAUUGUUUUCAAAUUUAUGAACAAAGCACACAAAUUAAGAAUAAUACAAGCAAGAAACAGCAGAGAGACACAAAAGGACAUAGAAUCCCUGAUCCUCACUGUGAUCUGGUAACACUAGUUCUAGGGCUGGAGAGAGAGAUGCUCAGGGCAAGUGCUCUUACAGAGAACAUGAGUUCAAUUCCCAGAACCCACAUGGUACCUCACAACUGCCUAUUUCAUACAUGUGGGGCAGAACACCGAUACACAUACUUUUUUUUUUAAGAAUUGAAAAAAAAAAAAAAUUGGUUCUGGACUCCAGUGGGUCUGAGUUUGAAACCGUAGCUGUUCUCCAGUUGUGUGGCCUUGAAUAAGUUAUGCAACUUCAUCAACCAAGCACUGUCAUUGGACAGCAGAGAAUAUGACAAAAGUCAACGGGCGAUCUGAACAAGUGGCACAUGCUUGCAUACUUGGAUGACACAGUUCGAGAAGCACUUGAACCCUGAAGUUUACAAACAGCCUCGAUAACACAGGAAGACCCCAUCUCAGAAGAAUAGAUGAGAUCACUAUUUCUCAGCUUCAGCAUUGCAGAUGAUCAGCUAAUGUGGAACUCUCCAGCCCCUUUGCACAUUGCAUUUCUUUGCAUGGCUUUUGGUUGGUAACUAUACAUUUGGCAUCUGUUUGGAUUUUUUUUCUGUAUACCCCAAAUGCCAGCCAUAGUCUUGGGCAUAUAGUAGGCAGUCAAACUGUUGGUGUAUGAACCAUUCUCAGUAAUUCUUUUGUUGUAGACAGUCUCUGAGGAAUUAUCCCCUAUUGAAUGGUCUCAUAACAGUUUUGGAAAGCGCUCAUGUAGGGAAAAAACUAAGAUAAGAUUUUACCCAGGAAGGUCUCCACAAGUGCAAAGUAGAGACUUCAGGACAUUCCCAGUCUCGUUGUGUUGCCAAAUCUACCCUCACAAUGCAUGACUUAACUCAUAAAUCCUGGGCCAGUCACAGUUUUUUAAAUUCUACUCUUUAGUCUCCCAUGCUCUGGAGAAGGUAUUUAAAUUGCCAAAAUGUUUAACAAUAGUUCUCUAGGUUUUAUAAGACUAGUUAGUUUACUGGUAAUUUUUCUGUACAAAAAAAUUGCAUUGGGCUGGUGAGAUGGCUCAGUGGGUAAGAGCACCCAACUGCUCUUCUGAAGGUCUGAAGUUCAAAUCCCAGCAACCACAUGGUGGCUCACAACCAUCCAUAAUGAGAUCUAACUCCCUCUUCUGGAGUGUCUGAAGACAACUACAGUGUACUUACAUAUAAUAAAAAUAAAUAAAUCUUUAAAAAAAAUA
rnacentral:lncRNA from 1 species